CCUACGGGAGGCAGCAGUGAGGAAUAUUGGUCAAUGGGCGGAAGCCUGAACCAGCCAAGUCGCGUGAGGGAUUAAGGCCCUGCGGGUCGUAAACCUCUUUUGCAGGGGAGCAGUGGUCCGGACGCGUCCGGAACGGGAGGGUAACCGGAGAAAAAGCAUCGGCUAACUCCGUGCAGCAGCCGCGGUAAUACGGAGGAUGCGAGCGUUAUCCGGAUUUAUUGGGUUUAAAGGGUGCGUAGGCGGGCAUUUAAGCCGGCGGUCAAAUGUCGGGGCUCAACCACGGGCUGCCGGUGGAACUGGGGGGCUUGAGUGGGCGAGAAGUAUGCGGAAUGCGUGGUGUAGCGGUGAAAUGCAUAGAUAUCACGCAGAACCCCGAUUGCGAAGGCAGCAUACCGGGGCCCUACUGACGCUGAGGCACGAAAGUGCGGGUAUCGAACAGGAUUAGAUACCCCUGUAGUC
rnacentral:rRNA from 1 species